rnacentral:rRNA from 1 species
UACAGAGGUCUCAAGCGUUGUUCGGAUUCAUUGGGCGUAAAGGGUGCGCAGGUGGCGAGGCAAGUCGGAUGUGAAAUCCCGGGGCUCAACCCCGGAACUGCAUUCGAUACGGGCAGACUAGAGUAUGGCAGGGGAGACUGGAAUUCCUGGUGUAGCGGUGAAAUGCGCAGAUAUCAGGAGGAACACCGGUGGCGAAGGCGGGUCUCUGGGCCAAAACUGACGCUGAGGAGCGAAAGCGUGGGGAGCGAACAGG